rnacentral:rRNA from 1 species
GACAGAGGGUGCAAACGUUGUUCGGAAUUACUGGGCGUAAAGCGCGCGCAGGCGGUCCUUCAAGUCAGAGGUGAAAGCCCAGAGCUCAACCUUGGAACUGCCUUUGAUACUGGAGACCUUGAGUCCGGGAGAGGUGAGUGGAAUUGCGAGUGUAGAGGUGAAAUUCGUAGAUAUUCGCAAGAACACCAGUGGCGAAGGCGGCUCACUGGCCCGGAACUGACGCUGAGACGCGAAAGCGUGGGGAGCGAACAGG